rnacentral:rRNA from 1 species
CUACGGGGUGCACCAGUGGGGAAUAUUGCACAAUGGGCGCAAGCCUGAUGCAGCCAUGCCGCGUGUAUGAAGAAGGCCUUCGGGUUGUAAAGUACUUUCAGCGGGGAGGAAGGGAGUAAAGUUAAUACCUUUGCUCAUUGACGUUACCCGCAGAAGAAGCACCGGCUAACCCCGUGCCAGCAGCCGCGGUAAUACGGAGGGUGCAAGCGUUAAUCGGAAUUACUGGGCGUAAAGCGCACGCAGGCGGUUUGUUAAGUCAGAUGUGAAAUCCCCGGGCUCAACCUGGGAACUGCAUCUGAUACUGGCAAGCUUGAGUCUCGUAGAGGGGGGUAGAAUUCCAGGUGUAGCGGUGAAAUGCGUAGAGAUCUGGAGGAAUACCGGUGGCGAAGGCGGCCCCCUGGACGAAGACUGACGCUCAGGUGCGAAAGCGUGGGGAGCAAACAGGAUUAGAUACCCCGGUAGUC